AAUGAGAUAGCUGAGUCACAUGGUGAUUCCAUUCCUAUUUUUUUGAGAAAUCUCCAUAGUGCUUUCCAAAGUGGUUGCACUAAUUUGCAGUCCCACCAGCAAU
rnacentral:pre_miRNA from 1 species